CUCAGUCUUUGGCGCGCGGUCCUGUCAAUCAAAUAAGCUCUAGGAAAGGAUUGGCCCCCGGCGAUCAGCGUGCUGACUGUUCUGCCUGAUUGGGACAUAGGCUCCCUCCACCUCCAAACUCUACUCCUGUCCUGUAAAGGUCAGACUUACCUGUGAAAAAGGCAAAGAGGAAGUGGGACCCUUGCGUUGUUCCAGCUGCUUCCUAGCCAAGCCCAGCAUCACCCUCUGUUCGGCCAACUGACCUAGAUUGGCCUCAGCCAUUCCUCUGAGUCUGCCCCUGCCAAAGAUCACUGGUGAUUUCCUCAUGGCUAAAUCUAGGCGUCACGUCUCAGCCCUUAUCUUCCUUGCCUCUUCAAAAAAAUAUUUGACAUGUUGACCUUUCUUCGUUGUUUUCCGUAAUUCGUGCUUCCGGCUUUCCUCCCUCUGAGUCCUCUUCUCUAUCCCCUUUGCACUUGCCCCUUUCGCUGCCAUCUCAAGUUCUGGUGUUACUGUUGGAUCUGUCUUCCUAUUGCCUUUGUUCAGGCCUCUGCUGAGAUCCUGAAUUACAUCAGUAGCACCCUUACUAGCAUGUCAGUUACCCUGCCUGUUUGACUGCCCUCCAUUCUUCAUACUGUAGCCAGUCAGGCUGCUGACAUUUCUUUAGUGGAACCACACUCAUCUUGAGAUGAAGUAGAAACUCUUGUAAAGAGUUCUUUUUCCCUCAGGCUCCAUCUUUCAUCAACAUUCCUCCUCCUCCCUUUACCUUCUGCCUUACCCCGAUUACUUGGCUUCUUUCAGAUCCUAGACUUGACCGUGGCCUUGGGACUUAGUUUGCAUUGCAUUAUUUCCACCUGGAAUGAUUUCUCCCUACCUCUUCCCUGCUAUGCCCAGGACUCACUUUAGAAGUUACUUUCUGAAGAAAGGCUUCCUUCCUCUCCUUUCAAGUUGCCUCUCUAAUGUAGGUUUGCAAGGUAAAAGACAGGAUACUCAACUAAAUUUGAGGUUCAGAUGAAUAACAAAUAAUCUGUAGUAUAACUAUGUCCUAUGCAGUAUUUGGCAUCCUGUAUUUUUAUUUGCUAAGUCUGGCAACACUGCUCCAGCAUGCUCCCUUUGUAGUCAGUACCUUUCCUCUGACAGCUCUUAUCACAUAUUCCAUGUGGGCAGGUCUUUCUUGUUCACUGUUUAAAUUUCUUUGCCUAGCACAGUGCCUAAAAUAUAAAAGGCACCUAAAAGAGACUUGGUAAAUAAAUAAUGGAAUAUUCUAGGGGAAUCGUGAAUAGCUGCUUGAUAUUCCUGGAGGAACUUUCUUCCAUAAAACAGAAGUACUGAUGAAAUAUGCUCUUUGAAAUGAACAGUUAGUUUAAUCUUUCGUAUUUUUACUUGUGACUUUGUGAAAGAAGCAUGUCUAUAACUUUGCCUAGGUAGAACAAAAAAAAUUGUUUUUGGAAAAAUAUGAGAACCUGUAUUUUAUAUUUUGGAUUUUUGUUUGUAUUGGAGGUUUUUUGGGUGAGUGCAGUGAGAAUUUAAGAGAACUCUGCAUCCUUAUUAUGACCAGACUCUUCCUCUCUGAUCCCUUUCAGAGUCUUUCUACUACUUGACUUUAUUUAUUUACUUCAGUGGCAGAGUUAAGGGCUAAUAAGUCAGUACGUAUUAAGAACCUUCUGCUUUUAUAUAAUAAACUCUUUAAGCUUCCUCCAGUUAACCUCAGUCUCCUGGCUGCUUGCAAUAUCUUUUCCAGAUACCCUCACUAUUUUUCCUCAUCUUGAGUAGAUAUGGACCAACAAGGAAGAAAUUAAAGUGCACCUAUGCAUGGAGCUGCACAUGAAAGAAACAGAUCAAUUGCAAAUCUGGUAAUUUGGAAUUGUGCCCCGAGUCACUUUCUAUUUGGAGCUCAUUUUUCAAAAUCACUUUUGGAGACAGAACUGAAUAGAUGUUUCUUCCAAAGAGGAAAUGCAGGUGGCCAAUUGGC